rfam:Astyanax mexicanus Tnplaced_Scaffold3523, whole genome shotgun sequence.
GUAGGGUACGGAGACAUGCACCCGGUCACCAUCGGAGGCAAGAUUGUAGGGUCGUUGUGUGCCAUCGCUGGGGUGCUGACCAUCGCCCUGCCUGUGCCCGUCAUCGUCUCCAAC